rnacentral:rRNA from 1 species
GUGGGGAAUAUUGGACAAUGGGCGAAAGCCUGAUCCAGCCAUGCCGCGUGUGUGAAGAAGGUCUUCGGAUUGUAAAGCACUUUAAGUUGGGAGGAAGGGCAGUAAGUUAAUACCUUGCUGUUUUGACGUUACCGACAGAAUAAGCACCGGCUAACUUCGUGCCAGCAGCCGCGGUAAUACGAAGGGUGCAAGCGUUAAUCGGAAUUACUGGGCGUAAAGCGCGCGUAGGUGGUUUUGUAAGUUGGAGGUGAAAUCCCCGGGCUCAACCUGGGAACUGCCUCCAAAACUGCAUGGCUAGAGUACGGUAGAGGGUAGUGGAAUUUCCUGUGUAGCGGUGAAAUGCGUAGAUAUAGGAAGGAACACCAGUGGCGAAGGCGACUACCUGGACUGAUACUGACACUGAGGUGCGAAAGCGUGGGGAGCAAACAGGAUUAGAAACCCUAGUAGUCC